AUUACCUCCGUACACUCCGGUUCCGAGCGCGCCAUCCGCACCUGCCUGGCGACUGCCCGUCAUGUGUUGUCAGCC
rnacentral:sRNA from 1 species